CUGACAUCAGAGAACACACUUAAAAACUUACCAUGAAGUUAGACUUAAUCUCAGAGAAUUCAGACACAUGCAAGAAACCAUUGAUGUCAGAAAAGUCUCUAGCUCAUCUCCAUGUGUAGACCAAUACAUUUAGGGAAUGUGAAAACUGUGUGCUCAAAUCUUUUGUGACAUCAUGUAGUAUAUACAGGUGAAUUUCCCUUUGAAUAUAAAGAAUACUAGAGCAUUUUUAUAAAAAUCAUAAAGUGCACAUUCAGUGGGCAGGAAAUCUUAUCCAGACUUUUUCAAUAUAUAUGACAUGGAAACUUUCAAUACCUAAGUCAGGUCUCAGUCUGCAGGAAAACUCCUAAGGUAUAGUAGUAUACAGCAAAUGAUUUAGCCAGGUACGGCUUUUCAUCCUGACUCUUGUGGGUGACCUUGGCAAGACUCAUUUGCACCUGAUGUUCAACAGCAUAGCAAGCCAUGAAAUCAAAAGACGGGAAAGCUCAGAUGGUGGUGGUCAGCUUUAAUACGGGUACUCAGGGGGGCAGCAUUGUAGGGAUCAGUAUGAGUUUGUGGCCAACCUCUUUAACAGAGUGUGUUCUGGGCCAGCUUAGGGAUUACAGUGAAAUUCUGUGAUGAAAAAAGUGAGGAAAUGUUAAGUGGCAAUAAAACCCACCAUAAGGGGCUGGGGAUUUAGCUCAGUGGUAGAGCGCUUACCUAGGAAGCGCAAGGCCCUGGGUUCAGUCCCCAGCUCCGAAAAAAAAAAAAAAAAAAGAACCAAAACCCACCAUAAGAGAAUGCAGCGACUUUUUAAAUAGUACUUGAAACUCAGCUGACAUCAGAAACACAACAAAAAUGCAGUAAAGCACAGGAGUGCGAUAUGAGAGAGUACAGGGGCCACACUACAUCGUCAGUAUAAGGACUUCAGUGUUGAGCUGUAGACACACACAGUAGAAACCCCAUCAGUCCACAGGUUAGAAAAGCAGCACUCACACUUUAGCAAGCAUGACAUCAAGUGUGAAGGUUGAGAACACGUUUGGAUUUAGAAACUGAAUUGAGGUUGACUGUGGUUCAGUCACAUGUGCCUGUGAAGCACAUGCAUUUCCUGUUCUUCUGGGUUUGAGACUUCUUACACAUCACCUGGAUUUUCAACACCCAUGCCUAUUUUUGAAAAGUAUAAGCAGUCUGGAAGAAGUUGCAAAAAAUCGAUCAUGCCUUUUUGAGCACUGUCAGUGAAAUCACACCUUGUACAGUGAGACCAGAUCUACAUAUGCAGGCCAGACUGACUUUGAACUCUUAGCAUCGUGGCCAGUUCUCCUAUUCACGGUCAUACUGAUUCAUGCUCUUGAGAUCUUGGAUUAGUGAAAAUUGUCUUCCGUGCAACUCUGUAUAUAUCAGUCUGUGUACGUUGCAUGUUAAUUUCCAGGUGGAAUUGUUUGAGAUGGAAAUGAAGCAUCCCAACUCCAUGAUGCUACCAAAUAAACACAACGAUAUUCCCAGCCACUGGACAGUAAGCUGCUUCUUUGGGCAUUUCUUCUUCUCAUAACUAGUUUGGUAGAAGUUAGUGAACAUAGUAGACAAAACCAGCAAUGCUAAUUAACAUCUCUUCCUACAGAAUUUCUUCUCAUGACAUGGUUUUUUUCUAUAUGUUAUUAUAUGUAUUCAAAUUUUGUCUCCAGAGCACUCAGCCUGACAAUACAGGAAACAUGUAUACUUUGUAUACGAUGUAAUAAUGGAGGAAGGUGGAAGUGGCAUGGUGCAUGCCUUUGUAUGUGUGUAGUUCUGAUUGGAUGUUCAGUAUACGUAAGUGAGAUGCAUAGACUGUAACAGAUAGAUAGAUAGAUAGAUAGAUAGAUAGAUAGAUAGAUAGAUAGAUAGAUAUUGCAACUUAUUCUAUUUAUUAUCUUUCUGUCACUGUAAGUAUCAGACACAAAUGAAGUUUGAAGUAAUUGUGUUGGAUUGUGGUUUCAAAGGAUUUUGUUCAUGGUUACUUUGCCAGAGCAAUAUGAACAGUACUGUGGUGGCAGUAGUUGUGAUAGAAGAGAUUCCGCACAUCAUGUCGGGAAAUGGACCAAAGAAUAGACCAUGUACCUAUUACAUCUUCUAAUGUGUCACCCUGAUUAUAUAAAUUUAACUAGACACUACCUUCCAAAGUUUGUAUCAGUGCUCAUAUUUGAAUUCAAGUUCUGUGGGAGAGAUUUCAUGCAAAAACCAACACACAUGCCAGGCAGUGGUGGCACACACUUUGAACCCCAGUGCUUGGGAGCGAGAGUCUGGGAAUCUGUAAUUUGAGGCCAGCCUGGCUUAUAGAACUAGUUCCAAGACAACCAAGACUACACAAAGAAACCCUGUCAUGAAUUUUUAAAUUAAAAAAAUAAACAAAAUUAAAUAAAACCAAAAUACACUACAAAUAUCAACCUUUAAUAAAAUUUUAUUUAUAAAUUCUUGAAUACGAUGCCUUUAUAACUUAUGUUUUUUCUUUAUUCAUGCAUAUCUAAAUGUACAUGGAUGCACUGUUAGAAACUAUCCCAUAAGUGAGAAUAAGAAUUUAUUACUAAUGUGUUCACAGAACAGAGCUGCUGUGUCCGACUGGAGUUUUGUUUUGUUUUGUUUUGUUUUGUUUUUUUACUGUGAUUGAAAUUUUUUUUCUUUUUUAAGAUCAAACUGAUUGGAGGUCAUACAAUUUUUUUGAAUUAUGGUUCCCUCCCCCCUUCCAGAUUCUUCCACCCUUGCAAAUCCACAUCUUUCCCUGCUCUCUCAUUAGAAAACAAAUAGGCAUCUUUUAAAAAGAACAUUAGAAAAUAAGUUAAAAUAAAAACAAAUAAACCUGAAUAGGACAACACAUGAGCCGAUAAACAAAGAGCCCAAGAAGCACACAGAUGGGGGCUGGAGACAUGGCUCAGUGGUUAGAGCACUGGCUGCCCUUCCAGAGGUCCUGAGUUCAAAUCCCAGCACCCACAUGGUGGCUCACAACCAUCUGUAAUGGGAUCUGAUGCCCUCUUCUGCUGUGUCUGAAGUCAGUGACUGUGUUCUCCCAUACAUGGAAUAAAUAAGUUUUUAAAGAAG
rnacentral:lncRNA from 1 species